rnacentral:rRNA from 1 species
UACAGGGGGGGGCAAGCGUUGUUCGGAAUUACUGGGCGUAAAGGGUCUGUAGGUGGCCAACUAAGUCAGACGUGAAAUCCCUCAGCUUAACUGGGGAACUGCGUCUGAUACUGGAUGGCUCGAGUGUGGGAGAGGAAUGCGGAAUUCCAGGUGUAGCGGUGAAAUGCGUAGAUAUCAGGAGGAACACCGGUGGCGAAGGCGGGUCUCUGGGCCGAUAUCGACGCUGAGGAGCGAAAGCGUGGGGAGCGAACAGG